CGAUAGCGUAUAUUAAAGUUGUUGCAGUUAAAAAGCUCGUAGUUGAAUUUCUAAGCGAUCGACGUGUCGCCAUACGGUUUGACAUGUUAUCCUUAUCCGCUUUGAUUUAGCAAUACGCACUUUGUUGGGCGAUUGUGUAAUCAAGCAAUUUACUUUGAAAAAUUAGAGUGUUUCAAGCAGGCGAUUUGCUGGAAUACAUUAGCAUGGAAUAAUAGAACACGACCUCUUAGGCAUUUUAUUGGUAUAUGACUGGAGGUAAUGAUUAACAGGGACAGUUGGGGGCAUUAGUAUUGCAUUGUCAGAGGUGAAAUUCAUUGAUUAGUGCAAGACUAACUUAUGCGAAAGCAUUUGCCAAGGAUGUUUUCAUUAAUCAAGAACGAAAGUUAGGGGAUCAAAGAUGAUUAGAUACCAU
rnacentral:rRNA from 1 species